rnacentral:rRNA from 1 species
UACGUAGGUGGCAAGCGUUGUCCGGAAUUAUUGGGCGUAAAGCGCGCGCGGGCGGUCCUUUAAGUCUGAUGUGAAAGCCCACGGCUCAACCGUGGAGGGUCAUUGGAAACUGGGGGACUUGAGUGCAGAAGAGGAAAGCGGAAUUCCACGUGUAGCGGUGAAAUGCGUAGAGAUGUGGAGGAACACCAGUGGCGAAGGCGGCGAUCUGGGUGGUUACUGACGCUGAGGUGCGAAAGCGUGGGGAGCAAACAGG